GCCUGUGAGCAGCUCACCGUGUGUCAGGGGUGGAGAGAGUGUGAUGCAGCUGGAGUGAGGCUGAGAGUCCAGACCCUGAGUCCGUGCGCUCUGUAUCCUGGGACGAGCCUGCACACCCUCGCUACACACCGGCUUCUCCUCUGCAGACAAAAUAUUCAUGGCAGACCUCUGCCCUUCCCAUUGAAGGUAGCAAGAGCUUCUGUUUGAAGGAUUCUUCACUUGCCUUGCUGGACUGACAUCCACAGACCGGCCCACUUUUCAUCAAUCGGUUACAAGGGUCUCCACAUCGGAGAGGAGUCCCUGGCCAGAUCACUUGCUGCCAAGAUGUUCUGCUGCUGCCCGUGCCCAGAGGACGGGGCCUCAGGAGGGCUCACAGGCAGAGUGUGUGGGAUCGCUGGCGACACUGGCUCAGGGCCCCCCGAGGAGGCCUCUGGCCCUUUGCCUGAAGGAACAGGAAGAGCUUCCCACCGGAUGUGGCCGACGAGGGGGACACGCCGUCCACCUCCUCGAGGGAGGGGUCGGAGCCCCACCCCCUUGACCGUGAGGCCCAGUGCAGGGUCCAGGUGAGCGUGCCCAUGGAGGGGUCAGCCCAAGGGGGAGUGAAGAGCAAGAGGGGAAGGCCUCCCCAGAAACCACCCAGGACACACCGUGGGGCCCAGUCUCGGGCUGCUUCGCGGCUCAGCACACCCGACUCUGACCCAGAGUCCCGAGCACCCCUCCCUCUGAGGCAGCACGAGGACCUGGAGCCCAGCGCGGCAGAGCACAGAGGUGCAGGACCCAGGGAUCCACUGAAGGGAAAUCGAGACCUGAGCCUACUCUCCCAAAGACACCGACCAGCUGGGUACUGGCCAGCACACUGGGCAGAUCGGACCUCUGUGCCUGCAGGACCCCCAGCCCCAGGCACACAUGUCCCACCCCCUCAGCCCGAACCUCCACCUCCACGUGCACCUGCCCCUGCUUGGGCUUUGGCAGGAGAACCCGAGUCAGGGCAUGAGUUACCACCUCUGCAAGGAGAGCCUGCCCUGGCUCCUGCCCAAGACCCAAUGCCCAUGAUGACUGACUCACCCCUGCAGGGAGAACAGGCCCCCGCUCUGGACAGAGAACUCGCCCUUUCUGGAAACACCUCGUCCCGGGGCGUGGUUGGCUCUGCAGCCUCCAUCCCUGUCUGCUCCCCGUGGAUGCCAUCAACUCACUCCCCACCCAGGGGAGAUUGAGUUCCCUUCCCUUGAGGGUCUUUUCACUUGGAUAUUAUGUAA